UUAGUAGGCUAGCCGAAAGGUUAUGCCACAUAGACGCUUGCUUAGUUUGACAGAGUUUAGUUGCAAUCAAAAAAUACAACUUUUAACAAUGGAUCUCUUGGCUCUUGCAACGAUGAAGAACGCAGUGAAAUGCGAAACGUAAUGCGAUUUGCACGAACCUGUGAGUCAUCAAGUCUUUGAACGCACCUUGCACCAUAUGAGCAAUCGUAUGGUAUACCUGUUUGAGAAUCGUAAAAACCAACUCCUACCCUUGGGUAGGGAAGUGUCGGUUUGAGCUAGCUCAAUCUGAUCAAAAGCAGUAGGUCUAGUCAGGCUGGUGGCCUGGGACAUUGUGUGCUAGAGACGUCGUUCGCGGCAGUCUUCUCACGAUGCGUCCCUGGGCUAUUCAAGCUGGUCUGAUGUCGAUCUCUACGUGUUUUGACCGUCAAAAGUCAAAACACAACCCCCUUUUUGAUCUCAAAUCAGGUAAGGCUACCCGCUGAACUUAA
rnacentral:rRNA from 1 species